rnacentral:rRNA from 1 species
GGUACUUGUACCUGGUGGCGAGCGGCGGACGGGUGAGUAAUGCCUAGGAAUCUGCCUGGUAGUGGGGGAUAACGCUCGGAAACGGACGCUAAUACCGCAUACGUCCUACGGGAGAAAGCAGGGGACCUUCGGGCCUUGCGCUAUCAGAUGAGCCUAGGUCGGAUUAGCUAGUUGGUGAGGUAAUGGCUCACCAAGGCGACGAUCCGUAACUGGUCUGAGAGGAUGAUCAGUCACACUGGAACUGAGACACGGUCCAGACUCCUACGGGAGGCAGCAGUGGGGAAUAUUGGACAAUGGGCGAAAGCCUGAUCCAGCCAUGCCGCGUGUGUGAAGAAGGUCUUCGGAUUGUAAAGCACUUUAAGUUGGGAGGAAGGGCAUUUACCUAAUACGUAAGUGUUUUGACGUUACCGACAGAAUAAGCACCGGCUAACUCUGUGCCAGCAGCCGCGGUAAUACRGAGGGUGCARGCGUUAAUCGGAAUUACUGGGCGUAAAGCGCGCGUAGGUGGUUUGUUAAGUUGGAUGUGAAAUCCCCGGGCUCAACCUGGGAACUGCAUUCAAAACUGACAAGCUAGAGUAUGGUAG